CUGUUCGACCGCACCUUCGCGGCGUCGCCGGAGGACGCCGCCGCCGACGCCGAGGUCUCGGACAAGAUCGGCCUCCUGCAGCGCUUUGUCAGGCCCCAUCACCUCGACAUACCCAAGGUCCUCAACAACGAGGCUUCCUGGCUGAUUGCAGUUAAAGAACUACAGAAGAUUAAUUCCUUCAAGUCCCCGUGGGAGAAGCUUCUCUGUAUGAUGAGCUGUUGCCAAGUCAUCAAUAACUUGCUGCUAAACGUGUCCAUGACAAAUGACCGGACGCCAUCUGGGGCUGAUGAGUUCCUUCCCAUUCUCAUUUAUAUUACCAUCAAGGCCAAUCCUCCUCAGCUGCAGUCAAAUCUGAAGUUUGUUCAACUCUUCAGAAGAGAAACUAAGCUUGUUUCAGAAGUCGAAUACUAUCUCACAAACCUCAUUUCAGCAAAGAUGUUUAUAAUCAAUGUUAAUGGCCAGUCGCUAUCCAUGGAAGAAAGUGAGUUUCAGAAGCAUAUGGAAUCUGCAAAACUAGGUACUCAAAUGUCUGUUGCUGGCCCUAGUAGUCCACAAGGGUUGGCUACAUCUACGAGGGGAUUACAGAAGCAAAUUGAUGCAGAAGGUUCCAGAUUCCCUUUCAUGGACUCGGAAACUGAAAAUCUGACGCCAGCGGAACUCAAGCAGUUACAUGGGCUCUACAGGAAGACAGUGACCAGAUAUACACUGUUGUCUAAAGCCUUAAGAAAGUUAUCCAUAGAUGAGGAUCAGCUCCUCGCAUCAGUAGAUGAUUCAUGA
rnacentral:rRNA from 1 species